GACGUAGGAGGCGAGCGUUGUCCGGAUUCAUUGGGCGUAAAGAGCGCGCAGGCGGCUUGGUAAGUCGGAUGUGAAAACUCGAGGCUCAACCUCGGGCGUGCAUCCGAAACUGCUCGGCUAGAGGUAGGUAGGGGAGAUCGGAAUUCCUGGUGUAGCGGUGAAAUGCGCAGAUAUCAGGAGGAACACCGGUGGCGAAGGCGGAUCUCUGGGCCUUACCUGACGCUCAGGCGCGAAAGCUAGGGGAGCGAACUGG
rnacentral:rRNA from 1 species